GCUACAACCUCCACCUCCCAGCCACCUGCCUUGGCCUCCCAAAGUGCCGAGACUGCAGCCUCUGCCCGGCCGCCACCCCGUCUGGGAAGUGAGGAGCGUCUCUGCCUGGUCGCCCAUUGUCUGGGACGUGAGGAGCCCCUCUGCCUGGCUGCCCAGUCUGGAAAGUGAGGAGCGUCUCUGCCCGGCCGCCCCGUCUGAGAAGUGAGGAGCCCCUCCGCCCGGCAGCUGCCCCGUCUGAGAAGUGAGGAGCCCCUCCGCCCGGCAGCCACCCCGUCUGGGAAGUGAGGAGCGUCUCUGCCUGACAGCCACCCCGUCUGGGAGGGAGGUGGGGGGGGUCAGCCCCCCGCCCGGCCAGCCGCCCCGUCCGGGAGGUGAGGGGCGCCUCUGCCCGGCCGCCCCUACUGGGAAGUGAGGAGCCCCUCUGCCCAGCCAGCCGCCCCGUCCGGGAAGGAGGUGGGGGGGUCAGUCCCCCGCCCUGCCAGCCGCCCCGUCCGGGAGGGAGGUGGGGGGGUCAGCCCCCCGCCCUGCCAGCCGCCCCG
rnacentral:lncRNA from 1 species